UGAGUAACCUGCCCUUAACUCUGGGAUAAGCCUGGGAAACUGGGUCUAAUACCGGAUAUGACUCCUCAUCGCAUGGUGGGGGGUGGAAAGCUUUAUUGUGGUUUUGGAUGGACUCGCGGCCUAUCAGCUUGUUGGUGAGGUAAUGGCUCACCAAGGCGACGACGGGUAGCCGGCCUGAGAGGGUGACCGGCCACACUGGGUCUGAGACACGGCCCAGACUCCUACGGGAGGCAG
rnacentral:rRNA from 1 species